rnacentral:rRNA from 1 species
GACGAACGCUGGCGGCGUGCUUAACACAUGCAAGUGGAGCGACGAACCGGGGCUUGCCCCGGGGCAGAGCCGCGAACGGGUGAGUAACACGUGGGUUACCUGCCCUGAUGACCGGGACAACCCGUCGAAAGACGGGCUAAUACCGGAUGUGCCCGCAAGGGGAAAGGAGGCGUAAGCUUCCGCAUCGGGAUGGGCCCGCGGAGCAUUAGCUUGUUGGUGAGGUAAAAGCUCACCAAGGCUUCGAUGCUUAGCUGGUCUGAGAGGACGAUCAGCCACACUGGGACUGAGACACGGCCCAGACUCCUACGGGAGGCAGCAGUGGGGAAUCUUGCGCAAUGCGCGAAAGCGUGACGCAGCAACGCCGCGUGCGGGAAGACGGCCUCGGU